GUCGAGAAUCUUUCACAAUGGGGGCAACCCUGAUGGAGCGACGCCGCGUGGAGGAUAAGGUCUUCGGAUUGUAAACUCCUGUCAUGCGUGAACAAGGUUGCUUGGUUAAUACCUGGGCAAAUUGAUGGUAACGCAAGAGGAAGAGACGGCUAACUCUGUGCCAGCAGCCGCGGUAAUACAGAGGUCUCAAGCGUUGUUCGGAAUCACUGGGCGUAAAGGGUGCGUAGGUGGCGUGGUAAGUCAGAUGUGAAAGCCCGGGGCUCAACCGCGGAACUGCAUCCGAUACUGCCAUGCUAGAGUACUGGAGAGGUGACUAGAAUUCUCGGUGUAGCAGUGAAAUGCGUAGAUAUCGAGAGGAAUACCAAAGGCGUAGGCAGGUCACUGGACAGUUACUGACACUGAGGCACGAAGGCCAGGGGAGCGAACGGGAUUAGAAACCCGGGUAGUCC
rnacentral:rRNA from 1 species